UCUCUUGUUUUUACCGCCUAUAUACCGCCGUCGUCAGCUUACCCUGUGAAGGUCCCAUAGUAAGCAUAAUCAGCACAACUCAAAACGCCAGGUCGAGGUGUAGCAUAUGAGAGGGCAAGAAAUGGGCUACAUUCCCUAAAUCCGGGCAUACGAAAAACAUAAUGAAAAAUAUGUCAUGAAGGAGGAUUUAGCAGUAAGCAAGAAAUAGAGAGUCUCGCUGAAACUGGCCAUGAAGCGCGUACACACCGCCCGUCACUCUCCCCGAAAAAACUAAACAAAUAUAUAAAACCCUAAUCUUAACAGAGGGGAGGUAAGUCGUAACAUGGUAAGUGUACCGGAAGGUGCACUUGGUAAA
rnacentral:rRNA from 1 species